GAGUCGGCCUUCCUGUGAUGAUGGCAGUGAAUGUAGCUGGUUGGCCAGGCUCUACACACAGAUCCUCAGUGGGUACCUGGAUGGAGGGAGGAGCUGAGCAGGAGAUUAGAUCAGUUAGUAAUCACACAAAGGUAACACACAGGCUGCUGUAUCGCCUGAUCCAUGGAUGUCGAGGCAGGAACAGCCCCCUCAGUGCUACAUUCAUUUCUGGAGACAAAGAUAAGAUAAAAAAAAAAAGUGAAAACCAGGGUGUCCAGGAGGGAACAGCAUCUUAGCAAUAGAGGUCGGACUGAAAUCCGUCUGUAGCCAUUUCUUCACAAAGGCAGUGGACCAGCCCUCUGAGUCUGCGUCUAUGAAAACCAAAAUGCAAUUCAGCAGGAACUUAUGGAUCGGACACGUAAAAUAAGACAUGCCUACUCCAAAGGGAACACCUGCCCAGCACAUGACCAUCUUGUGUUCGUAGGAGUGAAGAGUUAGCUGGGCAUGCGUUGGCAAGAGGAGAAAGGGGAAUGUUGCGUGGUUAUUUGUUAUCGUGACAGUGAUGACUUACAUGGAACAGUCCAUGUGAGGAACUUCCUGCUUUAGGAAUAGUGGAGGGAAAAUGGAAAAAGAUGUAGGUUAUGGACAAUGGAAGGGCAAACAUGGUAAACUGGUUUAAAAAAUCCAGUAAGAAAAUGCAUAUAUCUAAUGGAGCCAAUGUUCUAGCCUGUUUAAAGAAUAGUGAACAUCAAACUUACAGUGGAUGUUCAGCAACAUCUAAUAAUUCUAUUAAAUUUGUCUAUAUCCUAUUCUACUGUGUUAUACUACUUUUAUUUCUGACCCUAUGUGAUAGAAAUAGAGACACUGUUGAAAAAUCCCUAAAUAUAUCACUGUAAUAGUGGAUACUUGCUAUCUCUGUACUGUAGUCAAAGUACUGCUGUUAGUUUCUGGCACCUCAAGGUUUGUCUGACUUUUGGAUCCUAAUG